AUAACUAAAUAUCUCCGAGUUCAUCGAUCCUAAUACCUGUUUUCGUAAUGGUCUAUGAGCCUGUAGGGUAUUGUGGGAAACUUCAAUGCCUCCCAUUGUGGAAAGGAGUACUAUGCAGAUCCCU
rnacentral:ncRNA from 19 species